UUCUUAAUUUCAACUUCUGCAAACUCUUAAAAAAAAAAAAAACACGCCUGCCUUCCACGUUCCCAACCUCUAAAUUAGUGAAACCAGAUUGUCCUAAUAAGACCUUUUGUUGAAAACACAUGUAGUCAUAAAAAGGUAGACGGAAAGUCAAUUAGACACGCGCGCGCGCGCGCGCACGCACACAUUCACCAGCCGGCGCUAAGUGUGCACCCGGGCACAGCUGGGCCCCGGGCCGUGGUGGAUGCAAAUGGGGAACAACAGCGGCGCGGGAAAUCGAUUUGUCACAAAGGCAGAGGUGUAAACGCAGGCCAAGGAUCGCCCUCCUGAGCCACCAGCCACACUCUCCCUGGCCCAGCUUCCCAAUUUCUCUAAGCCAGAGGAGAAAAGAACCUUCUCUAGGGCGCUCCCCAGUUGGAAUCUGCAUCAAAAUAAUAUCAAUUCCCUCUCUCCCAGUUGUGGCUCCUUUCACAAUAAUUAUGGCGCCACAAGUGUCUUUGGCAGCACCACCCUAGGGUUUGUGCCCCAUGCUGGUACUCUGAAUUUGAAUUCAGGCCUCAAGGAUCUUAAUUCAAGACAAAGAUCAUAAAACAAGUCCUCUUAAGGGUGGCCUGGAAAUUUCUCUCUUCACAGGAGCAAGGGAUAAAAAUCCAGGAGCAAAGGAGUUCCCCAGUCCUGAAGUGUAUCUCAAAGGCGGGUGGUGACCUGCUUAUUUUGCUUAUUUUACGUACUGGGACAGAGAGGAUCAUGGGUGCGUCCUCUUAAAAUUUUUAGAGAAAAAGACAAUUUAGUAACUUCGAAAGUUUGGGGACCAAGGAUGUCUUGGGGUUUGAAAUAUCAGGGAAUUGCACCCAGAAGAGCCAAGGACUUGGGCUGACCAGACUCCUUGAGGCUCAUUCUCCUAUUCCAUGAAACCCUUCUGAGACCCUGUAGCUUCCUAGCCUUAGAUUUUGCUCUGUGCGGAUGAACUUUCUUAACUCAAGUCACAGUGCUGGGUAGCAAAAAACAGGCCCGCAGCAGAUCACACCAAUGUCAGUAGUUCCUUUGUCUUCCCAUCAUUCUUGAUUUAACAGCAGGGAUGUAUAAAUCAUCCCCAAACCAACAAAUGCCACCCCUCAGGCCCCCUGCGAAAGCAGCGAGUGCUUUUCUAUUACAGGGGCGGACUCCCAAGGCUGAGUUUCUAAAGAGUUUCCGCCUGGGAGCCCUAUGCUCUAAAUGGCGGCUAUAGAUUCUCAACUAUGACCUAUGACGGUCUCUAGACCAAUUGGAUGUUUUAUUUUAAAGAAUUUACAAUCCUCUCCCUAUGCGGUGUUUAUCGGGAUUCACUGACACGUAGUGAGCAGAAUCUCCGCCUAGACAAAGCAGGCAAAAACUCUGGGACUGCGGGUACCCAGUUGUUUCAAACUUCUGUGCCUGUGGGUCUUGCACUGUGACCCCAGGGAACCUUCAGUUUAAGGCUCCAUCCUCUUUGUAUGCUGUGGAAUGUUCAUUUUAUUAACUCUGUAGAAGAGCCACAUGAGGAACCACUUUGAAAAUGGAAAGGGGUAUUUAUAGAAAAGGAGAUGGGUUUUGCAUUGUGUUGGGAGUGGGCAGAAAGAGAUUUUCAGGCGGACAGUAUCCCCCCUCCCCCAAUAAAAAGUAAAAUAUGGAUCUCAGAAGACUCUAUCCAGUCUUGGAUAGAGCAACAUUUAAUUUUAAAAAAAAUGAUUAUUUUUGUUGUUGUUGUUAAAUGUCCUUAUGGCCAUUUGUGGGCUAACAAUUAGAGAAUUACUUAUAGGCAGAGCAUCACUAAAUGGUGAGCCAUGCCUUGUCCCAUUUCCUUGAUCUACUCUGAUGCUAUGAGAUGCCACCUUCCAUGGGUUUCCUACUUUUUCUCUCCCUCUUUAUCAAGAAAAAGAUCUGUGUGCCUUUCGUAAUGGUAUUGAUCCACAAGAAUUUGGAUUCUUGGGGAAAAACAAAACUUAGAGCCCUAAAGUAAAUAAUCUCAAAUAGUAGUGAAAAUAUCAGCAAAGCCGCAUGGGCUCCUUUGUGCAAAGUGCAGCUUCUGGUUAAGCCAGGAUAGGUGUAGGUACCAGAGAAAGGAAGCAGGACUGGCAGGGACGCUUCUGAGUUAGCAAGUUUAGUUUUACAGAACGAUGUCUCUACUGGAGACUGAAUAUUAGCAGGUUCUUAGCAUCAAUAGAUCCGAGUUCUCAAAGAAGUAUUUGUGUAGACCUCUGUGACAUACUGACUUUAAAAGUAAUAGUAUUUUAUUGGCUUGAAAUCACUUAAUU
rnacentral:lncRNA from 1 species